GAGAUCAACACUGAACACAGACCUCUCACCAUGAAGUUGUGGCUAAACUGCAUAUUUCUUGUAAAUCUUUUAAAAGGUAUCCACUGUGAGGUGCAGCUGGUGGAGUCUGGAGGAGGAUUGGUGAAGCCUGAUGGUUCCCUGAAACUCUCCUGUGUAGCCUCUGGAUUCACCUUCAGUAAUUAUUAUAUGCACUGGGUCCGCCAGCCUCCAGGAAAGGGACUGGAGUGGGUUGCCCUUAUUAGAAACAAAGCUAAUAGUUACACAACAGAGUACAGUGCAUCUGUGAAGGGCCGGUUCACCAUCUCCAGAGAUGAUUCCAAAAACACCCUCUACCUUCAAAUGAACAGUCUGAGAGCUGAGGACACUGCUACUUACUACUGUACAAGAGACACAGUGAGGGGCCUUCAGUGUGAGCUCAUACACAAACCUUCAUGCAAGAUUGCUCAGGACCAAGAGUGGGUGGACAAGGCCAGAGAAACAGACAGGAUGUUUAUUGAUCCAUUCACUAAUUUCUCAGGAAAGUCGUCUAGAAUUUAUAUGCUGUAUCAAACACAGAAGUCUCUAUGUUGA